UACGGAGGAUGCGAGCGUUAUCCGGAUUUAUUGGGUUUAAAGGGUGCGUAGGCGGGAUGCCAAGUCAGCGGUCAAAUACGGGGGCUCAACCUGCGUCCGCCGUUGAAACUGUAGUUCUUGAGUACUGGAGAGGCAGACGGAAUUCCUAGUGUAGCGGUGAAAUGCGUAGAUAUUAGGAGGAACACCAGUGGCGAAGGCGGUCUGCUGGACAGCAACUGACGCUGAGGCGCGAAAGCGUGGGGAGCAAACAGG
rnacentral:rRNA from 1 species